CGGCCAGGAAAUUCUCUCUUCGUGAAUAAGGAAGCUCACUGUCGACGUACACAUUUGAGUUGAAUCUACCAGCUAUUUAACACUACUUAUAACAAAUCAACGAACAUAUCUUUUUAGCCAUAGCUUUUCAGCCAAGCGAACACAGCCCCAGCAGUACGUGAUCCCUUUACCUUAGCACUACACUACUUCAACAUUACUUUUCAGCGAGCGAACAGUGUUUACCUCUCACAACAUUCACAACAAGAAUUUUCUACUCCAUAGUGAGGUGAUCUCCUAGUAAUUUAAUAUUUAAAAUUUAGUAUAAACUUUUCC
rnacentral:lncRNA from 1 species